rnacentral:rRNA from 1 species
GCUUGUCUCAAAGAUUAAGCCAUGCAUGUCUAAGUAUAAGCAACCUUAUACAGCGAAACUGCGUACAGCUCAUUAUAUCAGCAAUUAUUUAUUUGAAGAUCACCUAUUACAUGGAUAACCGUGGUAAUUCUAGAGCUAAUACAUGCAUUCAAGCCCCGACUUCUGGAAGGGGUGUAUUUAUUAGAUAAAAAUCAACUUUGUUGGUGAAUCAUAAUAACUUCUCGGACCGCAUGGCCUCGUGCUGGCGGUGCUUCAUUCAAAUAUCUGCCCUAUCAACUGUCGAUGGUAGGAUAGAGGCCUACCAUGGUUGCAACGGGUAACGGGGAAUAAGGGUUCGAUUCCGGAGAGGGAGCCUGAGAAACGGCUACCACAUCCAAGGAAGGCAGCAGG